rnacentral:rRNA from 1 species
UACGAAGGGGGCUAGCGUUGCUCGGAAUCACUGGGCGUAAAGGGUGCGUAGGCGGGUCUUUAAGUCAGGGGUGAAAUCCUGGAGCUCAACUCCAGAACUGCCUUUGAUACUGAGGAUCUUGAGUUCGGGAGAGGUGAGUGGAACUGUGAGUGUAGAGGUGAAAUUCGUAGAUAUUCGCAAGAACACCAGUGGCGAAGGCGGCUCACUGGCCCGAUACUGACGCUGAGGUGCGAAAGCGUGGGGAGCAAACAGG